UCAGUUUGUAAAAUAAGAUGCAUAUUAUUCAGCUUGAUUCAUUGCUCAGGAUUCUUGAAUAAGAUGGGGCGACCAAGAUGUGGCUCGGAGAAAGGGUGCAUAUGGGAUUACUUAUUACCCAUUGGGUCUGCAAAUAUGAGAGUGGCAAGGCAUGGGUAUUUAGCUCGAGUUGUGCAUGGGCUGCUCGAGCUGCGCGCCAAUGUGGAGGCCCCGCACCGCCGCCGAUGGGCUGAUGUUGUUAUACGUCGUGGCGGGGACGUCCGUGUGUGCGCUGCUUGUGCUGGGCGCUGAUGUGGUCGCCCCCGAUCGGAAGGGACGCCGCUGGAGCUGCCGCGGGAUAUGGUGGUGGUCCGCUGAUGGAGCUGGGAGCAGAUGCGGAGGCAAUGGGCCCGACUCUCUGUGUGCAAAUCAUGAUGACUUGGAGCACUGUAAUGGGAAGUUUUUAUUCAUCUUUACCUAUAUUUAUUGGAUUAGGUUCCAUUGGCAGGUGAGAUUCUUAUCCUGAAUGCUUUAUUCUAUUUUUGCCAAGACACUUCUCGUUAAUAUGUUCAAUAUUCAUAAUAAAUUUGUUGCGGUAGAAUUACAUGAUUUCUAAACAUUUUGAUUCAUAAUACCAAUUUGCUGCAUCAUGGGGUUUAUUAGAAAUCCUAAUGCAUUUCUAAUCAGGAUUGUUUCUAAUGGUGAUUAAAUCUGUCAUAGCGUCAACAGGUUAAAGGCGAUGUACCCUUUUCCCGUUUGGAUACCAACCAUUGCAUUCAGCGGUAAGAUCUGUUGCUUAUUUACUUGUAGAAUCAAGUGGGUUAGAGGCAUCUUCUUUUAACUAUUUACGACACUUCAAUAAAACACUCUUUUCUUAUUUGUGUGAGUACUAUUUGUUUCACCUUUUGCAGCUCAUCGUCAUAGCAUCUGGUUUAAAAAAUGAAUGACUACUUGCGAAGGUAUUGUUUUUAGUUUCUUCUUUUUGGUUCAGCUUCUUUGAUUUUCAGUAGUUGGUCCGUUAAUCAUCUAAAAUUUUCAGUAAGAUGUUUCUACAUCAUAUUCUUGAAUGUUCCUGAUUUCACAUCCAUGGUAUCUGCUUUGCUUUAGUACCUGUUCAUGGUUCACUCAUGAUUUGUUUCUUUCUCCCUAUCAGUCUUACCAUUUUGUUUUGCUUGCUUUACCUUGUAGCUUCUUCCAGUAGUUGUUUUUUUUUUCCUUUAUGUUAGAGCUGCUCUGUCACACUUUUUAUGCUUUUACGAUGUCCUAAUAAAAGUUUUGUGUGGGCAGAUAAUUUUUUGCUUACUACAAACCGUAGGAAGCUGAAGCUUACUGAUUUGGGGCUUGCACGAGAGGAAACUGUAACUGAAAUGAUGACGACUGAAACUAGGACAUACCGAUAUGGACACAAAGGUUAUAAAUCACUCUUUUCCACACUAGAUAGUCAAUAUUAAAAAAAUUAGGAACUGAAGCCGAAAUAAAAUGGUUCCUGGUUGUAGUUUCCCGGGUUGAUUCUUCGAAUUAUACUUCAAUUUGUAUGCCCUCGCGAUAAUUUUCUGCCUGAAGUUUCUAGAGCUCACUGAUUUUAGGACCUUCUAUACAAAGAGAAAUCUGAUGCUCUAGAAUUUGUGUAUGAAGAUUGCUUUAAUAACAAUCGCAAAUAUAAUUAUAGUCUUCAAUUAAGUAAUGAUAAUGUAAUAUUGCAUCCUAUCAUUUACAAUCAGAUAGACAAGUGACCUUAAGUAUAAGGUUUCAAGCUACUUAACGCUCAAUGCUUGUUAUAUAAUUCUCCAUGGUAACAUCAACUGAGUUGGGCAUCAUAAUUGGCACUGAACAUCCAAAGUUAAGUUCGUGCUCACCAUUUCACGAUUAUAUUUUUGGUACUGAUAUUUUCAUAUUACCAGUUCGCUGAAGAUAGAGCUCUGGCAUUGUAUUGAAGCUCAACUCCGCAUGAAAGUGUACAACUUCACUGUUAUGCUCUGGCACUCGAAUUUGCUAUGCUUUUCAUGCUAGGAACACUUACACGUUCAUUCUUAAAUCAUCUUGUUAUAUGGCAUUGUAGAUCUGAUGGAAAAGAACUUGUGUGAUAUAGGCCAGGGCGGAGGACGUUGUCAAUGGAAAACAUGGCUCCGCAUGAAGGUUCACUCACCAAUAGUAUUCAAGAAGAUGCGAAGGUCAUGGUUCUGUGUUGAUGCCCCUUGAAAAAAAUAUCUUCUCAUUUUCUUGUUUGAAGGAACGCUAGGAGAAAUUGAGGAUGCGAAAAAUGUACGGAGGAAAGGGAGACUAGGAGAGGUGCACGGUGAGGCAUCGACGAAUCCUAAAAAGAGAAACUUUUGUCACGGUGUUCUCAUA